rnacentral:tRNA from 1 species
GUCUUCGUGGCCUAGUUGGUUAGGGCGUAGGUCUCAUACCAACGAUCCUGUAUUAGACAGGAAUCAACCUACGAGCAAUCUGAUUGCUCAGACAUCCUAAGAUCGCGAGUUCGACUCUCGCCGAGGACA